CGUAGGGUGCAAGCGUUGUCCGGAAUUAUUGGGCGUAAAGAGCUCGUAGGCGGUUUGUUGCGUCGGCUGUGAAAUCCCGAGGCUCAACCUCGGGUCUGCAGUCGAUACGAGCAAACUAGGGUGUUGCAGGGGAGACUGGAAUUCCUGGUGUAGCGGUGAAAUGCGCAGAUAUCAGGAGGAACACCGGUGGCGAAGGCGGGUCUCUGGGCAACAACUGACGCUGAGGAGCGAAAGCGUGGGGAGCGAACAGGAUUAGAUACCCUGGUAGUCCACGCCGUAAACGUUGGGCGCUAGGUGUGGGGCUCAUUCCACGAGUUCCGUGCCGCAGCUAACGCAUUAAGCGCCCCGCCUGGGGAGUACGGCCGCAAGGCU
rnacentral:rRNA from 1 species